rnacentral:rRNA from 1 species
UACGAAGGAUCCAAGCGUUAUCCGGAUUUAUUGGGUUUAAAGGGUGCGUAGGCGGCUUUUUAAGUCAGUGGUGAAAGCUCCAUGCUUAACAUGGAAGUUGCCAUUGAUACUGAAGAGCUUGAGUACAUUUGAAGUGGGCGGAAUAUGUCAUGUAGAGGUGAAAUUCUUAGAGAUGACAUAGAACACCGAUUGCGAAGGCAGCUCACUAAACUGUAACUGACGCUGAGGCACGAAAGCGUGGGGAUCAAACAGG